GUGCGUGUGCGUGUGUGCGUG
rnacentral:misc_RNA from 1 species